AGGAGCAGCUGCACUGCUGCAUCCAGGGCCCCUGGGACAGGGCGCAGUGAGGGGGCCUGCGUCCCCUGCCACCCACCUACGGGGUGGCAGUCUCCCCCUUGACACUGCUGCAGGUGUGCUACCUGCCCAGCUUCUGAACCAGGAGCUUCCUCAAACCUGUGUGUUUGAUGCCCCGCCCUGUCUCGGGGCCCGGGCCGGACCUCUUAAAGGGGCAGGACUAGGAUUGCUGCCCUGCCCAGAACUGUGAGCUGAGAGACUUGAUUAUAUGUUGAACUUCUUCCCCUAAGGCCCGGACCUGAAGCAAGGCCGGGCACAUGAACUGUUACCUCUCACCCCAGCCUGAAGCAAGGCUGGCUAUAGACUCACUGACUUGGACUAUUUUAAGUCACGAUAGUGCAGUGGGGUGGACUGGCCGCCCACUGCACCGGAGGUGGAGGAACCCACUCCUGAAGGUUUACCGACCUACAGCCAGCCCCUGGAAGGGGGGAGCUUAGAGGCUGUUUUGGGCACUGCCGGAGGGCAGUGUCCUGAAACCAAUCCUGCCACCUGCCAUCGGAGCUAAUUCCCAGGACCAACGGCUGGUGUUGCUGUGGUGGGGCUUUGAUGCCUCUCCAGUGACAUUUGAAGAACUGUGAAAGAAGCAGCGUGUGUUUUUCUCUGCUGACAGCGGAAAUAAGGUCAGCUUCCAGACUGCUACACUGGCAACACCAUAUGGGGGAGGAGGUGAGCAGCCUUAAGUGGCCAAAGAGGUUAAGAACAAUUUGGAAAAGCUGGACUGGCAAAUGUAGUGCCCAUCUUUAAAAAAGGGAAGAAGGAGGAUCUAAGGAACUACAGACUGGUCAGCCUAACAGUAAUCCCUGGAGAAAAUCAUAGAGCAUGUCCUCAAGGAAACCAUUUUGAAGCACUUGGAGGAGAAGAAGGUGAUCAGGAACAGAAAACAUUGGAUUCACCAAAGGCAAAUCAUUCCUGACCAACCUGAUUGCCUUGUAUGAUGAGAUAACAGUCUUGGGAGGGCUGGGAAGUGGUGACAUAUAUCUUGACUUUAGGAAACCUUUUGAUAUGGUCUCCCACAGUAUUCUCACCAAUCAGUUAAAAAAGUAUGAAUUGCAUGGAUGGACUAAAAGGUGGAUACAAAGCUAGAUAGAACAUUUGGUUCAAUGGGUAAUGAUCAACAGCUCAAUGUCUAGCUGGCAGUUGGUAUCAAGUGGAGUGCCCCAGGGGUCAGUCCAGGACCCAGUUUUAUUCAACAUCUUCAUUAAUGAUCUGAUGAUGGGAUGGAUUGCACAUUCAUGGAUGACACUAAGAUGGGGGAGAGGAAGAGGAGCAAUGCUCUAGGUUGGAUAUUGGGAAAAACUAUUUCACGAGGAAGAUGGCGAAAUAGUGGAAUGGGCUACAGUGGAAUCUCCGUCCUUGCAUGUUUUUAAACCAUGCUAGACAAAGAUCUGACUGGGAUGAUUUAUUUAGGGUUGGUUUGAGCAGGCUGGGAUUGGAUUAGAUGACCUCCUAAGGUUUCUUCCAACCCUAAUCGUCUAUAAUUCUAGUAUUCUAAAUUUCAGUUUUCAAAGAGGAAGUCACAGAGUAAAUUAAAUAUGCCAAGCAUCUAAUUGAAUAAAGAAUACAUGUGAGAAAAUUGCUAGUUUCAAGCAGAAAAAAUGUUAAAUUCACAAAAUAAAAUAUUUAUGAGUUGCUCUCUGAUUUCUAUUGGUAGAUCUAAAAGUCAAAAGACAAAUAGAGUGAAAUUAUAUUAUUGAACAUUACCUGCAUAUCACAAACUCUUAAUGACCUACUGACCUCUGUCCACUAUCUCAGAAUGACUGUGGUGACUGACGAGUACCAGUAAAAGCCACAACAGCAUGGAUCAUGUAUGCAAAUGUUAAAAAGACUACAAUACUAUCCACAUUAACAUACUAUACAAUUUAAAUCCAACAUUAAAUAACUAAUUCAUAUGUGGUACAGUUUUCAAAGCACCUACAUGAUUUAGGUAAGCUCCAUUUUCAACAGCAGUGAACAUCAAUGGGAUCCUGUUGUAUUUGAUUAACUCUUAGACUCUUCAAUCACUCUUGAAAAUAGGAUUUAGGCCUCUAAAUCUCUUAUGUAAUUAGAAAAUGUUACUAUUUGUGCCUAAUAUUUUUGCCUCUGCAGCCUAUGAUGACUUUCAACCACAUAAUCUAUAAAAAUUGUUCAUCUAUAUAAUUGAUAGUCAUCUGUAUCUCUUGGUAAGAUGGGAGCAAGUAAACAGUAUAUAUUCUAAUAUGUCCAAAUGUAUAAUUAUAUAUCAAUGAAUUAUGCAUGUAGGCCAUACUUUGAGGAAGUAGGGAACUUUGUUCUAUGAGGUAGGGACUCUGAAAAAGAUUUGGGGGCCAUUGAGGAUAAUCAGCUGAAUACAAACUCCCAGUGUGAUGCUGUGAUAAUUUAGGAGGAAAAGGUAUAACAAGUUCUAAUGGCUGGAUAUUAAAGCUAGAUACAUUUAGACUGGAAAUAAGUGCAAAUUUUUAACAAUGGAGGUAAUUAAUCACUGGAACAAUUUGCCAAGGGACAAGGUGGAUUCUCCAUCACUGGCCUGUGUUCUACUGAUGAUCACAGUGGUCUCUUCUGAUUUUAUAAUCUAUGAAUAUGUGAGUCUAUAUCAUGGACUCUGCUAUUAUCACAUAAUGUUGUAAGAAGCUUGUGAUUUAAGGCAAGACUAUCAUGAAAUGUUUAUUCAUUCAAGUAAUGUAACUUUUCAUUAACUUACUAUUAAAACAAAUAGCAGAACUAUCUCUCUUAAUCUGAUGUACAUUAUUUUUUUAAAAUUCUAUGUCAAGUUCCUCUACUGGGACAAUUUUUCUUCCAUCACAAUGAGAAACUUAGUAAAGAAAUUGUGAGGAAUUUGUAUGCUUCAGGACAGUACUGUUUUAAAAAAAUGAUAUCUAAGUAAUUGUUUUUCAUUAUUGUCAAUAGAGCACUGCUUGCUGCCCAAAAUAAUUGUGAUCAAUUUGUCUCUAUUCUGCCUUAAUCAGCCUUCACAAUAUGAUGCUCGGUCAUAUAAAGCAACACUGACACAACACCAUAUCAAAUUUGUAAGCACAUAUUUGCAAGCCAAUUGGUUGUAGCCACCUCUAGUUCCAUGAGUGUAAGAGACACAGGAAUUGUGAAAAUAUUCUUACCUAUGCAAAAAAGUGAAUAGGCCAACUCAGAAUUUCUUGUCAGACUAGAUGACACAUCUCAGAAUGAAGAUGAGAUUUGAAUUGCUCAUUUCACUUUAUUUUGGUGUCUAUUUUUAAUUCCCCUCCCCAUCUGUUUUUUCUUCACAUUCAUCCUUGCCUCUGACUUUGGCUUUGUCCUUUUAUUCUGUGGCCCCUUUUGUAGCUUAUCAUCUUGAACCUCUCUUCAUAAUGGAUGUCAACUUUCUUCUUUGACCUUUCUCGGUCCUGCUCUGAAAUUUUUGUGAGUACCGAAUGACGAAGUAUUCACUGAGCGGGUGAAUUAAUUCAGUUUGGACAUUAAGAGCCUGAUCUAGCAAAGUGAAAAUUGAAGUUGAUAUGGGAAACUCUAAGUAGAACUAAUUGUAUCUUUGCAUUGUCAAGAAUUAUACCUGUCAAGCUUUUUAAAACUACAUCAUGGGAAUCGUUGGGAGCUGUCAUGUGAAUCACUCAACACAUUGUAGAAUUGUGACCUAAAAACAUUGUUUCUGCAGCUCAAAGGAACUGUACCAGCUUGGACAGCAGGACUGAUAAGGUCACUCCUGGACCUAGAUCUCUUUUAUAAUUCUCUUUUCAAAUUACGCUAGAAAAAAACCUCUGAUUUCAUAUGGAUGCCUUGUUUUUCCUUGAGGGCAAAUGAUAGCUCUAUCCUUCUAAGUGCACUUGUGCCCUUGAGGCUCUGAAUAGACUUUGUGUUGCAGGUGGAUGGACACUUAUAGUGUGUGCAGUGCCCAGAAGGAACAUUUGUAGUAUGCUUAAUAAUUGAAAGGUGCAAGUUGGAAGAAUGUCUUGGGUGGUGCCAAUAAGA